AGAAGCAACUUUAUGGGCUUCAAUUCCCAACACCAGUACAUGCAGCAGCUAGCGGCUCAAAAUGGCCGCAAAACUUUCUGGACAGCUUGUCCAUUUUGUAAUAUGAAGUACCAGUAUUAUGUGGAAGUUAUGAACAAGUCUCUUAUUUGUCAAAAUUGUACUAAGCCCUUUACUGCAUAUGAGAGGAGUAUGCAUGGGCCCCCAACAGCAACUAACUUGAAUCAGUCAGCAUUUCCUGAAAGGAAUGAUAUGCCCAAUCGGGCUUUUAGCAAAGUGGAACUUACUCGUCAGGGCAAUUUAAGUGCUGAGCAAUCUAGAACAGAGUUCUUUCAGAAGAAAGGUUUCAGUGGCGAGUUAGGUUCACAAAAGGUAAAUAGCAAGAGACGGAGGACAAGGGAUCCAGAAUCAAGUGAAAGUUGUGACACUGAUAGCAGCAUUGACACUGAAGAAGAUAUGCUAGUUGAUGAAGAUGGUGAGUUUAAGGCAAGAGUGAAUUCAGGAUGCUAUGGAGAGUGCCCAAGGAGAUCUGGUCGGCAUAAGCAGCAGGUUUCUUAUAAGGAAAAUUUGAGUGAA
rnacentral:misc_RNA from 1 species